AUCUGAGAAUCCAUGGCUAAAGCACACUACUGUGCUCCACAGUCAACUCUUUGCUGAUCAGCAGAGGAUGGAAGGCAUAGCAGACAGGGUCUCAUCCUAAAGGGUGUCUACCACAAACAAGAUAUUUAAUACUUAUGGAAGAGAAAAAAAGAAAGAAAGAAGAGGGGCAGGUGGAAAAGAAAGGGUAAUACAAAAUGGACCAAAAACCAACUAAAAAACAAAAGCUAACAUGAAGACUAUGUGGAGGCUAAGGAUGUAGCUCAGUGG
rnacentral:lncRNA from 1 species